CACAGCCUUCAGCAACCACAGCCUUCAGCAAUCACAGCCUUCAGCAGUUACAGAGCCGGGGAAGAUGCAGAGAAUCAGUGCAGUGGUUGGAUCGUCCUCCAUAUAUAAUGGAGACCACAAUUACAGUCUAUGAAAUAAAUGACAUAUGACGACUGGCAGCAUUUGCACCAUUUUAGUCCACAUUUGAAGCUUCCCAAAGAUAAUUGCUGGAAGGGUACAGUUCUUGAGGUUCUGCCAUUCUUCUGAAGUACAGAUGCUGUGAUAAGACAACUUCUCUAAAGUCAC